GAUGAACGCUGGCGGCGUGCCUAAUACAUGCAAGUCGGGCGAACGGACGAGAAGCUUGCUUUUCUGAUGUUAGCGGCGGACGGGUGAGUAACACGUGGAUAACCUACCUAUAAGACUGGGAUAACUUCGGGAAACCGGAGCUAAUAUCGGAUAAUAUUUUGAACCGCAUGGUUCAAAAGUGAAAGACGGUCUUGCUGUCACUUAUAGAUGGAUCCGCGCUGCAUUAGCUAGUUGGUAAGGUAACGGCUUACCAAGGCAACGAUGCAUAGCCGACCUGAGAGGGUGAUCGGCCACACUGGAACUGAGACACGGUCCAGACUCCUACGGGAGGCAGCAGUAGGGAAUCUUCCGCAAUGGGCGAAAGCCUGACGGAGCAACGCCGCGUGAGUGAUGAAGGUCUUCGGAUCGUAAAACUCUGUUAUUAGGGAAGAACAUAUGUGUAAGUAACUGUGCACAUCUUGACGGUACCUAAUCAGAAAGCCACGGCUAACUACGUG
rnacentral:rRNA from 1 species